AUAGGCUAAGAAAUUAAUAUCUUGUAAAUUUGUAUUUCCUUUUUGUUAGUGGGGUUUUGGAGAUCAUUUUUAAUAAGAUAUUGUUGUAUAUUGAUAUCUAAUUUGCUUCUAAGUUGUUGCUGUUACUUCCAGUUAUUCUGUCCACUCAAAAUGCAGCUGGGUAUUGAACCUAGCACUUUGAACACAUUGACUGGGAGCUUUGACAAUGAGGUACAUUCCCAGAUCUGGGAACAUCACAAAGAGAAAGUAACUGACUAAAAAGACCCUCACAUAAUAAUAGAACAGAUACUUAACUCCAAAUUAUGCAUCUCAACAUAAAAGUACGAGAAAAAUGAAUUAAUAAGGGAGCAAGAUGUACCCUCAAAUUCAUAACUCCCCAAUGACUAAAUUUGCAGAUACCAAAGUGGAUGCCAAAGAUACCUAGAAAAUGAUUAAUAAAAUCAUCAAUAAAUUGAAAGAAGAUAAAAAGUCAGCAGAAAAAAAUUAUGAAAUACAAUGAGAGAUAAGAAAGAACAUUUUAAAAAGAGAUAGAGACUCUAAGAAAGAACCACUAGAAACUUUGGAAUUUGAAAGUUCAAUAUGUCAAAUAAUCACCUAGGUUAAAAUAUUACCAAAUGCAGUAGUUCAACUGAAAGAAAGGACAUCAGGUAAUGAAGGCAAGGUGAAUGAACUAGAAUAUUCUGAGAAUAAUAAAAAAGUAAGAAACUUUGUUCUCUAUAGAUCUUUGUAGUAGAAGUCUUGAAGUACCAAAUGUAGGACUCAAUUCUUGAUGAAGGAGUACAGAUAGAUGUUAAUAGUAUAGAAAAUCUAUUCAGUGACUAAUACCAGAAAAUGUCUCAAAUCUUUAUGUGUGUGUGUAUACAUAUAUUAUAUACAAUAUUAUUUGUUCUUUUUAGAUAUACAUGACAGUAGAAUGAAUUUUUACUUAUUAUACAUACAUAGAGUAUAAUUUAUUCUAACUAGGAUCUAAUUCUUGUGGUUGAAUAUGGUCUGGAGUUACACCAAUCAUUUAUUGAUAAAUGAACAUAAGAAUAUUAUGUCCAAUUCCCUUCACUUUCUUUCCUACUUUCCCAAAUCUUGAGCAUAAGAUGGACAUUCAGGGAGAUCCAACAUGGCGGCAGGCGCUGAGAGAUCAAUUCUGUGACCUCUUCAGCUGUGUGGGCAAAGGGAAUCUUAAACUGACUGAAUGCUGUUUGCUCAGGACCACUAGGCAAUGCUAGGCUGAAGUGGACCUGGGGCGAGCAGUUUGUGCCCCUCAGAACCCACACCCAGCCAGGAGCGGGUGAAUUCAGGCUCCCCGUACACAGUUUCUGGCUGAUUGUCUGAGUCUCGCCACCAAACCGCCGUGACUCAGCACUACAGAAGCUCCCGUGGAAUAGAGAAACAACUCUUCGGUUCCUCUGUGAAACUUUUAAGGGGAUACCAACGGAGCCUUCAUAGGCAACGGGCCCAGAAUUGAGAUGGGACUUGGGAGAGUCGGACCAAACCCACCCUUCGCAUUUGGACACCUGGCAAAGAGAACGAAUGGCCACCCUUCGCAUUGGACACCAUCAUGGCAGAAAACUGAUGUCACCAGAAUUCGGCGGAGGGGAUAGCUUCAUCGAAACCGGCUACUGCAAGUGUGUGACCCCCAGGGCCCAUCAUCUCCACACAGCGGGGUAAUCUCAAGGCCCCCCUACCAGCUCUCCUGUGAGCGUGAUUGUCAGACCAAGGGAGUCAGGAGUGGCACCUGACCCCUGGCUACUGCUCCCACCAGUGCUGACAACUAAUGUCUCUUGCGCCAGUUCCCAGGGGCGUGGCUACCGGAAGGCAGGCAGAAUAAGCUGACGGUUCUCAGCCCCACAAUCCACAACCUUAGGGUCUGGAGGAAUGGCAAAUGGAGAGAGGGAGCCCAGUCGUUCAAGAAAAUAGGGCUCCCAGGAACGGCAGACCCGGAGUGUAGCUAGUUUUGUGAUGAACGUCACUGGUGAGUGGGGCCUGGCUGGAGGAAAAGCGGGGAAGUGACUGGAGACCAGGAAAGGCCCUGGGCACCCAGGAUUGGAGAGCCACCCAGUGAAGGAGGAGGAGCUGCCUCACAGGGAUUGGUUUCUGCAUAUUGAGAGAAGAACAUUGGCCCAGUGGGCACAGCUCCACCUACUGGAAGAGAAGGUAAUCGAACUCUAAGGGUGCAUUUUUAAAUUUUUUCAAAUUUUUAUUUAUUUUUUAUUUUUAAAUUUUAUUUAUUUAUUUAUUUAGUCUUUUCAAUUUCCCUAUUCCACUUUUCUUGAGUUCUAAAUAUUUAUUCUCAUCCUCUUUAGCGAUUUCUUCCCUCCCCUUCUAAUACCUUUCCUCCCAAGCAUUAUGACGCUGUUUAUGUGUAAUUUGCUAAAUGUGUAUAGGUAAAUGUUCUGAGGCGUUAUAUACAGGUACCAAUUCCCUAGCUACCCCCAAAUACUCCAGAACAUUCUCCUGUUAAUAUCCCUCAUCAGUAGAGCAAUCUUCCAAGGUUGCCAAGAUAUACCAACCUCUAUACCAUCACAUCACUCGACCUAAACAUAAGUCCCAAGACCAAACCACAGAUCACUUUACGCCAUCAGAAUCCGUACGCAUUUUAUGAAACAAAUGAAUCUGCUUUAAAGUGCAAUAAAAUUCAUCAUCUCUAGUCAUAGUCUCCCUUCAAAAAGGAGAGACCCCGGAGAUACACAAAACCAAAAUAAAUUUAUAGGAGUAAACAGUAACUCAGCAUUCAAACAGAACCGGAAGUAACAUGAGCAGCAUGAAAAAGCAAAAAAAUAAAAGGAGUACAAACAAUGUAGAACAGCCUAAAUCUACAGGAGAACCUAGAGGCAUCAGAAAAAUGGUCCAAUAAAGAACUCAGGGAGUACCUUAUACAGAUGGAAUGGAAUCUUAAAGAGGACAUGAGACAGCAAAUUCAAACAAUGAACGAACACAUUGAAAAUGAAUUACAUAAACAGAUUCAAGAAGCAAAUAAGCAACUUUACCAGGAGAUAGAGAUUAUAAAAAAAUCAAGCAAUAAUCCUAGAAAUGAAGGAAAUUAUAAACUAAAUUAAAAACUCAAACGAGAGUAUCCCUAGCAGAAUGGAGCAAGUAGAAGUCAGAACGUCAGACAAUGAAGACAAAAUAUAUCAUCUUGAAAAGAGUCUAGCCAACUCAGAAAGGCUGGUAAGAAACCACGAGAAAAACAUCCAAGAGAUAUGGGAUAACAUAAAAAAAAACAAACUUAAGAGUCAUUAGGAUAGAGGAAGGUAUAGAGGUCCAAACCAAGGGAAUGAGCAAUCUGUUGAAUGAAAUAAUUUUAGAAAACUUUCCAGAUAUAAUAAAGGAAACGGAUGUACAAAUUCUAGAUGCAUACAGGACACGGAGCAUAGAAAAUCACAGUAGACAAACGCCAAGACACAUUGUUGUGAAGAUAUCCAAUAUACAGAACAAAGAGAAAAUAUUAAAAGCUACAAGAGAAAGGAGGCAGAUUACAUUCAGGGGUAAACCAAUAAGGUUAAUGGCAGAUUUUUCAUCAUAGAUGCUGAAAGCGAGAAGAUCCUGGAACAAUGUAUUUCAAACACUGAAAUAUAAUGGAUGCCAACCAAGAAUUUUGUAUCCAGCAAAAUUAAGCUUCAGGUACAACAACGAAAUAAAAAUCUUUCAUGAUAAACAAAAGUUAAAAGAAUUUGCAGCCAGAAAACCAGCAUUGCAAAGCAUCUUGAGCAAAACACUACACGAGGAAGAAAUGGAAAACAAUAACCAAAACCAACAGUGGGAAGUAGCUCGUGAAAGAUAGAGAGCGGGGGGAAAGCUAAUCAUGGAGAAACAAACUAAAUUUUUUUAAAAAAGAUAAAUAAUCAAACAUGGCUGGAAGUACAAACCAUAUAUCAAUAGUAACUCUAAACGUUAAUGGCUUAAACUCUCCAAUAAAGCGACACGGGCUGGUAACAUGGAUUAAAAAAACAAAUUGAACAAUAUGCUGCCUCCAGGAGACACAUCUGAUUGGAAAAAACAUACACAGGCUGAAGGUGAAAGGUUGGGAAAAAAUAUACCACGCACACGAUCCUUGUAAGCAAGCAGAGGUGGCCAUCCUCAUAUCGAAUAAAAUUGACUUUAAGACUAAGUUAAUCAAAAGGGAUAAGGAAGGACAUUAUCUACUGUUAAAAGGAACCAUUCACCAACAAGACAUAACAAUUAUCAAUAUUUUGCACAAAAUAAGUGUGCUGCGACAUUCAUAAAACAAACUCUCCUCAAGUUCAAGAAUCAAAUCGACCACAACACAAUAAUUAUGGGUGAAUUCAACACACCUCUCUCACAAUUGGACAGAUCCUCCAAACAAAAGUUGAAUAAAGAAACUAUAGAACUCAAUAUCACAAUCAAUAACCUAGACUUAACUGACAUAUAUAGAAUAUAUCAACCAUCAUCAAGUGGAUAUACUAUUUUCUCAGUAGCACAUGGAUCCUUGUCAAAAAUAGACCAUAUAUUAUGCCAUAAGGCAACCCUCAAUAAAUAUAAAGGGGUGGAGAUAAUACCAUGAAUUUUAUAUGAUCAUAAUGGAAUGAAACUGGAAAUCAAUGAUAAAAGAAGGAAGGAAAAAUCCUACAUCACCUAGAAAAUGAACAAUAUGUUACUGAAUGAUCAAUGGGUUACAAAAGACAUAAAGGAGGAAAUCAAAAAAUUCUUAGAGAUAAAUGAAAAUACAGACACAACAUAUCAGAAUCUAUGGGACACAAUGAAAGCAGUUUUAAGAGGGAAAUUCAUUGCCUGGAAGUCAUUCCUCAAAAAAAGAAAAAAGCAACAAAUAAAUGAGGUCACAAUUCAUCUCAAAGCCCUAGAAAAGGAAGAGCAACACAACAGCAAAUGUAGCAGAAGGCAAGAAAUAAUUAAAAUCAGAGCGAAAAUCAACGAAAUUGAAACAAAAGAAACUAUUGAAAAAAUUGACAAAACUAAAAGUUGGUUCUUCGAAAAAAUAAAUAAGGUUGACAGACCCUUAGCCAUGCUAACGAACAGAAGAAGAGAGAGAACUCAAAUUACUAGCAUACAGGAUGAAAAAGGCAAUAUCACAACAGAUGCUACAGAAAUACAUAAGACAAUUAGAAAUUAUUUUGAAACCCUAUAUUCCAAUAAAAUAGAAGAUAGUGAAGACAUUGGUAAAUUUCUUACGUCAUAUGAUUUCCCCAGACUGAGUCAGGAAGAUACACACAAUUUGAACAGACCAAUAUCAAUGGAUGAAAUAGAAGAAGCAAUCAAAAGCCUACCAACCAAGAAAAGCCCAGGACUGGAUGGGUAUACAGCGGAGUUUCACAAAACCUUUAAAGAAGAAUUAAUACCAAUACUUUUCAAGUUAUUUCAGGAAAUAGAAAAAGAGGGAGCUCUUCCAAAUUCAUUCUAUGAGGCCAACAUCACCCUGAUUCCAAAACCAGACAAAAACACCUCAAAGAAAGAAAACUACAGACCAAUAUCUCUAAUGAACCUAGAUGCAAAAAUUCUCAAUAAAAUUCUGGUGAAUCGGAUACAAAAACAUAUCAAAAAAAUUGUGAACCACGAUCAAGUAGGAUUCAUCCCUGGGAUGCAUGGCUGGUUCAAUAUACGGAAAUCAAUAAAUGUUAUUCACCACAUCAAUAGACUUAAAGAUAAGAACCAUAUGAUCAUCUCGAUAGACGCAGAAAAAGCAUUCGACAAAGUACAGCAUCCC
rnacentral:lncRNA from 1 species